ACGAACGCUGGCGGCGUGCCUAAUACAUGCAAGUCGAACGGUCUUUCUAUGGAAGCUGCUUCCACUGAGAAGAUAGUGGCGAACGGGUGAGUAACACGUGGGUAACCUGCCCAUAAGAGGGGGAUAACAUCCGGAAACGGGUGCUAAUACCGCAUAGUUUUCUUGAUCGCAUGAUCGGGAAAGGAAAGACGGCCUUUGUGCUGUCGCUUAUGGAUGGACCCGCGGCGUAUUAGUUAGUUGGUGAGGUAAUGGCUCACCAAGACGAUGAUACGUAGCCGACCUGAGAGGGUGAUCGGCCACAUUGGGACUGAGACACGGCCCAAACCCCUACGGGAGGCAGCAGUAGGGAAUCUUCCGCAAUGGACGAAAGUCUGACGGAGCAACGCCGCGUGAGUGAAGAAGGUUUUCGGAAUCGUAAAACUCUGUUGUCAGAGAAGAACAAGUUGGAGAGUAACUGCUCCAGCCUUGACGGUAUCUGACCAGAAAGCCACGGCUAACUACGUGCCAGCAGCAGC
rnacentral:rRNA from 1 species